rnacentral:piRNA from 1 species
UUUUAAACACAUGUGAGCAUCCAAC